GGAAGUAAAAAUCGUAACAAGGUCUCCGUUGGUGAACCAGCGGAGGGAUCAUUACUGAGUUUACGCUCUACAACCCUUUGUGAACAUACCUAUAACUGUUGCUUCGGCGGGUAGGGUCUCCGCGACCCUCCCGGCCUCCCGCCUCCGGGCGGGUCGGCGCCCGCCGGAGGAUAACCAAACUCUGAUUUAACGACGUUUCUUCUGAGUGGUACAAGCAAAUAAUCAAAACUUUUAACAACGGAUCUCUUGGUUCUGGCAUCGAUGAAGAACGCAGCGAAAUGCGAUAAGUAAUGUGAAUUGCAGAAUUCAGUGAAUCAUCGAAUCUUUGAACGCACAUUGCGCCCGCCAGCAUUCUGGCGGGCAUGCCUGUUCGAGCGUCAUUUCAACCCUCAAGCUCUGCUUGGUGUUGGGGCCCUACAGCUGAUGUAGGCCCUCAAAGGUAGUGGCGGACCCUCUCGGAGCCUCCUUUGCGUAGUAACUUUACGUCUCGCACUGGGAUCCGGAGGGACUCUUGCCGUAAAACCCCCAAUUUUCCAAAGGUUGACCUCGGAUCAGGUAGGAAUACCCGCUGAACUUAAGCAUAUCAAA
rnacentral:rRNA from 1 species